CCGCGUGUGUGAAGAAGGCCUUCGGGUUGUAAAGUACUUUCAGCGGGGAGGAAGGGAGUGAGGUUAAUAACCUUAUUCAUUGACGUUACCCGCAGAAGAAGCACCGGCUAACUCCGUGCCAGCAGCCGCGGUAAUACGGAGGGUGCAAGCGUUAAUCGGAAUUACUGGGCGUAAAGCGCACGCAGGCGGUCUGUCAAGUCGGAUGUGAAAUCCCCGGGCUCAACCUGGGAACUGCAUUCGAAACUGGCAGGCUGGAGUCUUGUAGAGGGGGGUAGAAUUCCAGGU
rnacentral:rRNA from 1 species